UCGGGGUAGCAAUAUUCCGGAGUCGGAGCGGCGCAAGGGUGCGUAACACGUGGGUAAUCUGCCAUGAAGUCUGGAAUAACUUGCUGAAAGGCGAGCUAAUACCGGAUGUGACGAUCGGGAGGCAUCUCCUGGUUUUUAAAGUUGGGGACCGUAAGGCCUGACGCUUCAUGAUGAACCCGCGGCCUAUCAGCUAGUUGGUGAGAAACGGCCCACCAAGGCUAAGACGGGUAGCUGGUCUGAGAGGACGACCAGCCACACUGGAACUGAGACACGGUCCAGACACCUACGGGUGGCAGCAGUCGAGAAUUUUUCACAAUGGGCGCAAGCCUGAUGGAGCGACGCCGCGUGGGGGAUGAAUGGCUUCGGCCCGUAAACCCCUGUCAUUCGCGAUCAAACCUUGUUAUUUAAAAGAUGACGAGCUGAUAGUAGCGGAAGAGGAAGGGACGGCUAACUCUGUGCCAGCAGCCGCGGUAAUACAGAGGUCCCGAGCGUUGUUCGGAUUCACUGGGCGUAAAGGGUGCGUAGGUGGUGAGGUAAGUCGGAUGUGAAAUCUCGGAGCUCAACUCCGAAAUGGCAUUGGAAACUACCUUGCUCGAGGAAUGGAGGGGGGACUGGAAUUCUCGGUGUAGCA
rnacentral:rRNA from 1 species